ACCUGCGGCACUUUUUCCAUCCCGGCACGCAUUCCGCGCACCAGCGCUGCCAGCUGGUGACCGGGCGCAGUGGCUGGGUGGAGGUGGGGGUCUGUGGAGCAGCUGCAGCCACAGCAGCGUCGGCUCUGCAUGGCAGAGUUGUGAGCGUUUGAGAGGUGAAUUGGUAAGAAGCGCUCUGUUGCGCACCACGCUUAGUCAAAGCGCUUGAAAGAGUAAAUGCCGGGAGUGGGAAAGCGGCUGACGCUUUUCUUUCCAGGAGGAUACACUUGACCUGCUGACUUAAAUGGAGAUACGAGUGAGAUCAAAGGCAGAAGAGCUCUCAGUUGGCUGCAACUCUAGAGACAUGCAAGAAUUCUUUGCAAAGAUGCCAGGUAGGUAGCAACAAAGCCAUGCUGAAAAAUCCAACGGUGAUCAAAAAGACUUCAGGGCCUUGCGGAGAUGGAUAGAAGGAUCAAGAGGGCAGGCAGUGCUCCCUUCUACUCUUCAAGUUGAGGGGAACAGUAUUGAAAGAAAGAGGUAAGCUUUCAAUAUGGUUUGAAGGGAUACAUUGUGAAAAUCAGGUUUACAACUGAUAAGCAAUAGAAUAGCACGUCAUGUUUGACAGCAAGCUAGUGAGGGUUUUACUGAGUACUUUGGAGAACUCUUGAAGUGUUUGUAUACCAGUACAUGCAGUAUGAAAAUAAAUAAGAGGAGCUAAAAGCCUGGUUCAGUUGCAAUGCUACAACAUCAUUACAAUUUGUUGAACCUGUGUGAAGAGUCCUGUGCUUGAAGUGCUAUGAUAGGUGAUGAUAGGUUCUUCAGGAAACAUAGGCAGGUCAGG